rnacentral:rRNA from 1 species
AACGAACGCUGGCGGCAUGCCUAAUACAUGCAAGUCGAACGAGAAGUUCGGGCCUAGUGGCGCACGGGCACGUAACGCGAGGGAACAUGCCCUUAGGUUCGGAUUAACUACCCGAAAGGGGUGGUAAUACCGGAUAAUGUCAUGGGACCAAAGAUUUAUCGCCUUUGGAUGGGCCCGGGUUGGAUUAGCAAGUUGGUAGGGUAAAAGCCUACCAAGGCGCCGAUCCAUAGCUGGGCUGAGAGGAUGAUCACGCACACUGGGACUGAGACACGGCCCAGACUCCUACGGGAGGCAGCAGUGGGGAAUAUUGGACAAUGGGCGAAAGCCUGAUCCAGCAAUGCCGCGUGAGUGAUGAAGGCCUUAGGGUUGUAAGUCUCUGUUACCCGGGAUGAUAAUGACGGUACCGUGAGAAUAAGCUCCGGCUAACUCCGUG